rnacentral:rRNA from 1 species
UACGGAAGGCAGCAGUGGGGAAUAUUGCACAAUGGGCGAAAGCCUGAUGCAGCUAUGCCGCGUGUAUGAAGAAGGCCUUAGGGUUGUAAAGUACUUUCAUCGGGGAGGAAAAAACAAAACUAAUAAUUUUAUUUCUUGACGUUACCCGAAAAAGAAGCACCGGCUAACUCCGUGCCAGCAGCCGCGGUAAUACGGAGGGUGCUAGCGUUAAUCAGAAUUACUGGGCGUAAAGAGCACGUAGGUGGUUUUUUUAAAGUCAGAUGUGAAUCCCUGGGCUUAACCUAGGAACUGCAUUUGAAACUGAAAUACUAGAGUAUCGUAGAGGGAGGUAGAAUUCUAGGUGUAGCGGUGAAAUGCGUAGAUAUCUGGAGGAAUACCUGUGGCGAAAGCGGCCUCCUAAACGAAUACUGACACUGAGGUGCGAAAGCGUGGGGAGCAAACAGGAUUAGAUACC